rnacentral:rRNA from 1 species
AACGAACGCUGGCGGCAUGCCUAACACAUGCAAGUCGAACGAGAUCUUCGGGUCUAGUGGCGCACGGGUGCGUAACGCGUGGGAAUCUGCCCUUUGGUUCGGAAUAACAGUUGGAAACGACUGCUAAUACCGGAUGAUGACGAAAGUCCAAAGAUUUAUCGCCAGAGGAUGAGCCCGCGUAGGAUUAGCUAGUUGGUGUGGGAAAGGCGCACCAAGGCGACGAUCCUUAGCUGGUUUGAGAGGAUGAUCAGCCACACUGGGACUGAGACACGGCCCAGACUCCUACGGGAGGCACCAGUGGGGAAUAUUGGACAAUGGGCGAAAGCCUGAUCCAGCAAGGCCGCGUGAGUGAUGAAGGCCUUAGGGUUGUAAAGCUCUUUUACCCGGGAUGAUAAUGACAGUACCGGGAGAAUAAGCUCCGGCUAACUCCGUGCCAGCCGCCGCCGUAA